CUGUUCCUGAAUGGGAGAGACAAAAGGACAGGUGAAUGGGAAAGAGGCUUCAUCCAGGAGUCUUGGGGGGUGAUGUAUAGAUACUCCCUGCUUCUAUGCUGGUGGCCCGUGGAAGGAUAAAUCAUUCUUCCUUUCUCCAUGCUUAGAACUGCCAACAUUUGGGGUGCAGGUAGAGAAAAUUAAGAGAUCAAAAUAUCCUAAUUCUAGAGGUUUGAAGGGAUUUCUUUACAAGACACUGGAACAGCAUCCAAGACCGUAUAUGAGAAAUGUUGACUGCCUUUUGAAGUAAAAGAAAGUCUGAAUAUACAAUUAUUUGGAAAAAUAUAUCUGCCUUAUACCCCAUCUGAAAAAGUUCUUGGGAAAAUACUUGAAACCAAAUAGCAAAUACAACCUAAUAGAGAGCUCAAGGUGGGCCAUAAAUAAAUAUUCUGUAAAUGCAAACAAAAACGAAAGCUAGGAUGUCAAGCUGAGAGAUUGUUAACUUUAAAACUAAAAGCACAAAGCAAUAAAGAAGAGAGUCUGUUGUUUAUAUGUACUAAAUUUUACAGGCCUAAAUAAUAAAGCAUGAACUAAACUAUUAAUAUUAUAUCUUUAGUGAGAUAGUUUAAUCUGUCUUUUUGAGAAUUGGAUCAAUUUAAAAGAUAAACAAGUAUUUCAUAAAAAUUCAAGUAUAAAAUAAAUGUGAUUAAAAAUUAAAUAAUAAAAUAAGUAAAUGAGAAUGUGAAGUAAUUGAUAUUCAUAGAAUCUUAUAUUCCUUGAGCAGACAAUAUUUUUAUUCACAUGUUUAUGGUGAUAGAAUAUUUAUAAAAUUAAUCAUUUUCUUGGUCAAAAGAUGAAUACAUCUAGACACUUAACGCAAAGUUUGACGACUAUUAUUGAUAUUAUUAUAUUGUAUGUGAAACCUUGCUAAAAGAAUAGAUUCUAGGUGCUCUUGAAGGGAAGAACAUGGUCCCUUUAAAUGAUGGGGAAGCGGGGAAGGGAAGUGCGGAGUAGAGGAGGGCGUGGUCCCUGGCUAGGGCUCCACCCCCACGGACAUAGGUGAGGUCAGGCACUCCUCACUUCAUGAACAAAUGUUGCAUUUCCCAACACCACCCUGGCCUGCCGCGCCCCCAUCCUGUGCCUAUAAAACCCCGGGACACCUUAGUAAGUAGACAUACAAGCGGCUGGACGUCGUGAAGAACACUUGGGUGGAAGAAGACACAGAGGCAGCUGGGCGGAAGAAGACACAGAGGCAGCUGGGCGGAAGAAGACACAGAGGCAGCUGGGCGGAAGAAGACACAGAGGCAGCUGGGCGGAAGAAGACACAGAGGCAGCUGGGCGGAAGAAGACACAGAGGCAGCUGGACAUCAAGAGGAACACACUGGCAGGCGCUGGCACAUUGGCAGGCCACCUACCGGCAAAACGACGUGGAGUUUGGCCAGGGCAGUCAAGAGGAGAGCCCAGGUCGCUGAGCAGCCCGACUGCAAGGGAAAAACCAUUUUCCUUCUGGCUCCCCCAUCCGCUGAGAGCUACUUCCUCUCAAUGAAACCCUGCACUCAUUCUCCAAGCCCAGGUGUGAUCCGAUCCUUCUGGUACACCAAGAUAAGAACCCGGGAUACAGAAAGUCCUCUGUCUUUGCAACAAGAUAGAGGGUCUAAUUGAGCUGGUUAACACCAGCCUGUAGGUAGCAAAACUAAAAGAGCACCCUGUAACACACGCCCGCUGGGGCUUCAGGAGCUGUAAACAUCCACACCUAGACACUGCCCUGGGCUCGGAGCCCCACAGCCUGCCCCAUCUGUAUGCUCCCCUAGAAGUCUGAGCAGCGGGGGCCUGAAGAAGCGAGUCACACCUCCGGGCACACGCCCUGCAAAGGGCACAAGGGAACCUUUCUCGUUUCACUCUCACUACGUAGACACACACGCAAGACAUUCCACAUUUUAGCUAUUAUGAAUAUUGCUGCCAUCAACACCAGGUACAAAUUUCCCUUGAAGACCCCACUUCUUUCGGAAAUGCAGAAAUAGAACAAAAAACAGAAGUCUCUACCACCCUUCAUGGAGCUUCCACUCUAGUGUGAAGAGAGAGACAAGAAACAAACUAAGAAGAAAACACAUACCUAAUAUGUUAAGUGGUGAUAAGUGAAAUGGAUGAAAGCUGAAAUAAAGAAUGUAGGCAGAGGCCAGGCACGGUGGCUCACGCCUGUAAUCCCAGCACUUUGGGAGGCCGAGGCGGGCAGAUCACCUGAGUUCAGGAGUUUGAGAUCAGCCUGGCCAACAUGCUGAAACCCCAUCUCUAUUAAAAAUACAAAAAAUUAGCCAGGAGUGGUGGCAGGCGCCUGUAAUCUCAGCUUCUGAGGAGGCUGAGGUAGGAGAAUUGCUUGAACUUGGGAGGCAGAGGUUGCAGUGAGCCGAGAUCUCACCAUUGCACUCCAGCCUGGGCGACAGAGCGAGAAACUGUCUCAAGAAAAAACAAAACAAAAAUGUAGGUAGAUAGUGUGUUAGGGAAUUGAGAUCACUCAGGUGAUGACUGAAAACUUGAAACAGAUGAGAAAGCAUUGGCUAUGUGGAAAUGCGGGGCUGGGGGCAUGGUGGGGAGACCAUUCCAGGCAGAGGGAGAAGACACAGCUGACUCCACAGGAGAAAGACCAUGUGCUGGAUCAAAACAAACCCAGGAGAAAGCACAGAAGAGCUCAACAGAGAGGCCAGGGUACCAGACCAUGCAGGACACCUGGGCAGUAGUGAGCCUGCCUUUUAGGAAGCCAGAGUGGCCAUUCCUUGGCCUCCCAUUCAACAGAUUACUCUUGCUGCUGUAUUGGAGGGGGAAAAAUCAGGAUAAUUUUGCAAUUAUCCAGACAAGGAUCCUGGCACCUUGGGUUAAGGUGGUGAUGGUAAAGAUGGUGAGAAAUGAUGUGAUAUAUUUUUAAGACAAAAUCAAGAGGAUAUUUUAAUGGAUGAAUUUGUGAUGUGAGGAGAAGAAAUGGUAAGAAAGACUUCAAGAACUGGAGCUUGAGAAGAAAUCUACAUAAAGAAGAAUCAUAAAGAGAGACUGGAAGACUGAUGGAUGAACAAGUAUGGGUAAACAUGGGGAGAGAUCAGAAACUGAUUUGAAGACAUCAAGAUUGUCAUGCCUACUAGACAUCCAAAUGGCAUCAAAUAGAGCAUUAGAUGUAUGGGACUUGAGUUGAUGGGGAGAGGUCUUGUCUGGAAAUAAACAUUUGGGAGUCUCUAGUAUAGAGUUAUUGCUUAAAACUGUAAAAUUACAUGAGAUCUCUAAGGGAGUUUGAAUAGAAAAGGAAGAUGCCCAAGGAGAAAUUCCAAAAUUAAGGAUUGUUUUAGUGCAACUCUAGAGGCCAGAAACCUAUUCAGCAGGAGCUCAAUAGAGAAUGGGGCCGGGCACGGUGGAGCACACCUGUAAUCCCAGCACUUUAGGAGGCUGAGCCAGGUGGAUCACUUGAGGUCAGGAGUUCCAGACCAGCCUGGUCAACAUGGUGAAACCCUGUCUUUGCUAAAAAUACAAAAAAUUAGCCAGGCUUGGUGGUGCAUGCCUGUAAUCCCAGCUACUCAGCAGGUUGAGGCAGAAUAAUUGCUUGAACCCAGGAGGUGGAGGUUGCAAUAAGCCGAGAUUGGGCCACUGCACUCCAGCCUGGGCAACAGAGCGAGACUGUGUCUCAAAAAAAAAAGAGAGAAUGGGAAGGCAGGAAAUGGAGAAAGUAAACGCUGACAGCUUGGAGGGUUUCUUCUGUAAGAAAGGGAGGAAAAUGGGGCAGAAAAGUAAGAUAAAGAGGGGGUUUUAUUUUUCAGCCCUUGGAGAGAAACAGCAGCACGUUUGUAUAUCCAUGGGGAAGAUUGAUUACUCAGGGCAAGAGAAAGGCAUGCUGAGAGCACUGUCCCUGAGCAAGUGGGAGGAGGGGUACGCACAGGUCACAGGGGAGGCAACCUUGCUGACAGUGGCUGGAGAGGGUGGAGAGGAGCACAGGUGAUCAGCCUGCAGUUUCUUCAGAUGCGGAACAGAAGGUGACAUCAUCGACCAAGGGUAGGGAUGUGGAAAAGCGUAGGAAGUUUCUGGGAAGAGGAGUGGGA
rnacentral:lncRNA from 1 species